rnacentral:rRNA from 1 species
CAACCUACGGGACGCAGCAGUGGGGAAUAUUGCACAAUGGGGGAAACCCUGAUGCAGCAACGCCGCGUGAAGGAAGACGGUUUUCGGAUUGUAAACUUCUUUUCUUAGUGAAGAAGCAAGUGACGGUAGCUAAGGAAUAAGCAUCGGCUAACUACGUGCCAGCAGCCGCGGUAAUACGUAGGAUGCGAGCGUUAUCCGGAAUUACUGGGUGUAAAGGGAGCGCAGGCGGGACUGCAAGGUGGAUGUGAAAUACAGCAGCUUAACUGCGGAGCUGGAUCCAAAACUGGAGUUCUU